rnacentral:tRNA from 1 species
GUGGCCGUAGCUCAAUGGCAGAGCCCCGGAUUGUGAUUCCGGUUGUUGCGGGUUCGAGUCCCGUCGGCCACC